rnacentral:tRNA from 1 species
AAAUAAGAAGUAAAAAAUUACAUUUAGUUUCGACCUAAAAAUUGGUAUAAAAUACCCUUAUUUA